CAGGCCCGGAGGGCUGUGAAGGGCUAUGAGUAUGGGAGAAAGGGACAGGUGGGUGCAGUUAGGGCUCACCUCAUGGACGCACUCCACCUGCCUCAGGACAAUCUUGGCUGCUGGGAGUCUGCCUCACACAGAGGAGCGGGCCGGGGCCCCAGGAUUACAGCAGUCACAGGUCCAUUAGCGUUAGUUAUAAAGGGAUGGAGACGAGUGGCCCUUCUAAGACACAAUCAGGGGAGUUUCAAUCAGAGGCCAUGUCCUCUCAGGGGUGAGCAGAGUUAACAGUGUGGACACUGAUUGAGACUCUGUGGAUGAGGCCGGAUGAAGCGUGUUAACAAGCGCCCGCUGGCCGAGGCUGGUCGGCUGCUGGGCCGGCCUGCACCAUCCGCCAGGGCUAGGGGUCCGCAGAGCUGACGACUGCAUUUGCACAGACCACGGUGACCUGGAGUCAAUUCACGAGCUCCUCUGGCUUCCGGGAAGUUGGAAAGCAUGACUAAGCUGUUGUACGUGACUCAGGCCUCAGAUGGAUCCAGGGUCUGGAUGGAGCUGGGUUCCUCUCGUUAGCAACGAAAACAGUUCCAACUAAAAAUACACCAGAAAACCCUAAUUGAGUGGAGAAGCGUUUAAUGAAGGCAGCCUCCUGCGACCCGCCUCGGGAAGGCCUAGCCGUGGAGAAGCCUUCAGCCAGCCCCCUGUAGCCGUCUCAGCUCCAGCGCCCACGGGGAAAUAAGCCACCCCUGGGGUGGCCGACCUCAAGGCUUUUGCAGAUGUGAUCAAGGUAACAUGAGGUCGUACUGGAAUAUGCUGGGCUCAAUCCAGUAUGGCUGGUGGAGAGACACAGACACACAGAGGGAAGACCGUGUGAAGACAGAGGCAGAGCCUGGAGUGAUGCUGCCAUAAGCCGAGGGAUGCCUGAGGCUACCAGGAGCUGGACGGAGCAGGAGGGGUCCUCUCCUAGAGCCUUUGGAAGGACAACUCAACUUCAGACUUCUGGCUCCCAGAACUGGGAGACAAAGCACCUUGUCUGAAGCCACCCUGUUUGUGGUACUUUGUUAAGGCAGCCCUGGGAACGAACACGCUUGGUGGGCUCAGCGUGACCCGGCACCCAGGCCUGCAGCCGGGAUCGCUGAGCAGAGCAGGGCCGGGGACCGAGGGCUGUCUGGGAGGGAGGAGAGCCGCCAUUGCCCUCCCUCCUGGGCGCCUGGGCACCGGCACACGCAGUCGCGACGACAGAGACGACAGAGCGCCUCCAGCUGCUGCGUGGCUGGGCGAGCUCUCGGCUGGUUGAGGGAGCAGCCACACCAGCUGCCCCUACCAGCUCCCGCUGCUGCCAUCACAGAGCACGCAUGGCAUCUUGCCGAGCUGGCCCUUGAAUAGGGAAAUGCUGUUUCCCAGCCGCAGCACUGGGGAGCCGGGAGCACAGCAUGCUUUCAGAGGCGGGAGCUUGCGACCCCGGACGUUCAGCAUUAAGCAGACGUCCACGCACUGGGCUGCCAGGCAGGCUCACGGCGCCAGGAGCGGCCAGGCAGCAAGGACCUCAUUCAAGGCUGGUUUGCAUCCCAAGCAAAGGCACCAAGGGGCACAGGGCACUUGUCACGGAGACACAGGUCGCCUCCCCACUGUGGUGGGGCUAAGAUGACCUCUCUCUACAGCUCUGCGUUCAAGGGCUGUCGCAGGGUCACUGGAUGCUGUGCGAAAUGCAGCACCUCGGGCCCCCCCCAGACCCGCUGAACCAGAACCUACAUUUUAGCCAGUUCUGCA
rnacentral:lncRNA from 1 species